CAGGUAGGUGGUCUGUUAAGUCUUCUGUGAAAAUCCGGGGCUCAACCCCGCGAAAUGCAGGUGAAACUGGCAGACUGGAGACCGGUAGAGGCUAGCGGAAUUCCUGGUGUAGCGGUGGAAUGCGUAAAUAUCAGGAAGAACACCUGUGGCGAAGGCGGCUAGCUGGGCCGGUUCUGACACUAAACUGCGAAAGCGGUGGGGAAGCAAACA
rnacentral:rRNA from 1 species